rnacentral:rRNA from 1 species
CGAGGGGCAGCAUGGUCUUAGCUUGCUAAGGCUGAUGGCGACCGGCGCACGGGUGAGUAACACGUAUCCAACCUGCCGUCUACUCUUGGCCAGCCUUCUGAAAGGAAGAUUAAUCCAGGAUGGGAUCAUGAGUUCACAUGUCCGCAUGAUUAAAGGUAUUUUCCGGUAGACGAUGGGGAUGCGUUCCAUUAGAUAGUAGGCGGGGUAACGGCCCACCUAGUCAACGAUGGAUAGGGGUUCUGAGAGGAAGGUCCCCCACAUUGGAACUGAGACACGGUCCAAACUCCUACGGGAGGCAGCAGUGAGGAAUAUUGGUCAAUGGGCGAUAGCCUGAACCAGCCAAGUAGCGUGAAGGAUGACUGCCCUAUGGGUUGUAAACUUCUUUUAUAAAGGAAUAAAGUCGGGUAUGCAUACCCGUUUGCAUGUACUUUAUGAAUAAGGAUCGGCUAACUCCGUGCCAGCAGCCGCGGUAAUACGGAGGAUCCGAGCGUUAUCCGGAUUUAUUGGGUUUAAAGGGAGCGUAGAUGGAUGUUUAAGUCAGUUGUGAAAGUUUGCGGCUCAACCGUAAAAUUGCAGUUGAUACUGGAUGUCUUGAGUGCAGUUGAGGCAGGCGGAAUUCGUGGUGUAGCGGUGAAAUGCUUAGAUAUCACGAAGAACUCCGAUUGCGAAGGCAGCCUGCUAAGC